rnacentral:lncRNA from 12 species
GUUUGACCUUUAAUGAUGCUUCAGUAUCUUGACAUUCUUUAUUCAUCUCAAAACCUUUUGCUAAUUUUAAGUGGCUCCCUCUAAUAUACGUUCAAGAGGACUUAUUGAAGCAUACUUUGAAAGGGCAAGAAGAAAGAAAGAAAGAAAAGAAAAAAUUGAUCCAAAUCUUCAUCAAUACAGAUAAGAUGGGCUUCUACCCGCCACGUCGUCAUUCCGUGUGAUAGAAGGAGUUUGUGCCUGCACCUGACUCUUUUUUCUACUAAAGUUCCCAGGAGGCCCUGUUUUUUUCAGUACCUGUACCAGUCAGCAUUCUCCAGAGAAAUAGAACCAAUAGGAUGGAUUUCUACACCAGUCGAUUUUUAAGUAUUUCUGCUCCCAGCUGUGGGCCACCCUGCAGGGACAGUGAAUCCACAAGCCAGUACCGCAUAGGGUACUGCCAGGAGACCAGGCAUGUGACCGAAGCUUGGCCAAGUAGACUCGCUACACCAGUGUUUUGGCCUUUCAGCAAGGAAAGAGGAAACGACUAGUGGCCCAACAGAAUAUAAUUCAAGUCACCAUCGCAAGCUACACAUACAACUUUGAAUUUUCUAAUAGCUACCAAACAAGGUAAGAAGAAACAGGUUUAGCUAAUUUUAAUUAUAUAUCUUAUUUGACCUUACAUAUCCAAAAUACC